CCUACGGGAGGCAGCAGUAGGGAAUAUUGCUCAAUGGGGGAAACCCUGAAGCAGCAACGCCGCGUGGAGGAUGAAGGUUUUCGGAUUGUAAAAUCCUUUUGUUAGAGGAGAUAAUGACGGUAUCUAACGAAUAAGCACCGGCUAACUCCGUGCCAGCAGCCGCGGUCAUACGGAGGGUGCAAGCGUGACUCGGAAUCACUGGGCGUAAAGAGCGCGUAGGCGGGAUAGCAAGUCAGAUGUGAAAUCCUAUGGCUUAACCAUAGAACUGCAUUUGAAACUGUUAUUCUAGAGUAUGGGAGAGGUAGGUGGAAUUCUUGGUGUAGGGGUAAAAUCCGUAGAGAUCGAGAGGAAUACUCAUUGCGAAGGCGACCUGCUAGAACAUAACUGACGCUGAUGCGCGAAAGCGUGGGGAGCAAACAGGAUUAGAUACCCCUGUAGUC
rnacentral:rRNA from 1 species